rnacentral:lncRNA from 1 species
GCUACGAUUGAGUCAGCGAUCAAUCGGAAAAACUGUGCGAAACUCCGCGAGAAAACUCAAGAACACCGCAAACCUUCAAAGAAACUUGCAACUCCACCAAAAACCACUGCUCUUCCCACGGACAACCAAACGAGCGAAAGAACUCAACUCCACCGAACAAAUCGCGCGAAAACAGCAGAAAAAACCUCACUCCACCGAUCGAAAACCCAAACGAACGGUGUAAAACGCGAAUUCACCGAACAAAUUUCAAGCAAACAGCGAACGAUGGUUGCACCAGCACACAACCACGCAGAAAACUUCGAAAACCUCCAAGAACUCACGCUGUGGAUGGGAGCAAGUUUUAC